rnacentral:lncRNA from 1 species
CUUUUGAGGGCAAAACUGGGAAGUCCCAAUAAGGACUUCGGAUCAGGACUGUCCUGAGUCUGCCGCAAGUGACCAGAGGGGACGAAAGGUCCCAGGGCUGCACGUAACGAGCGGCUGCGACUCCCCAGUCCUCAACUUUGCUCUCAAGUGCGCUCCGAGCGUCACCCGGCGCUGUCCCCGCACCAUCUCGUGACCCGACACAAACCACGGUGAGCAGGGGUCCCCGCCCCAGCACCCCAUCCCCCAUCGUCAACGCCGACCCCAACCCCGACAGUGCGCGCGCCGCCGCACUCACUUGUAGGGCACCGGCCAGUGGCGCCGGGAGGGGAUGCCCGAGACCCGGGACCAGCCCGGAACCACCGCGAGCCAAAGCAGCGCCAGGGCCCAGCACCAGGAAGCGCGUCCCCGAGCCGCGCCCGCGCCCCGCCGCAUCUCGGCGCCCUGUGCCGUGUCUACCUCCUGCGCCAUCAGGCUGCACCCAGUACUUCCGGAGCCUCUCGAGGCCUGCGACGCCGGUGGGAGGAGCAUGCGCGGAGCCGCCAGUCCGGGACGCGGGGCGCCUUGCCCCUGCGCGUCAGCUCCAGAGCUUGGCCCCAAGCGCAGGUUCCGGCGCAUGACACCUCCCCGCGCCCGGCCCGCGGCGGCUUCCACACUUUGCAGUCCAGGAAGGUGCUUUGGUCUGGCUCCCAGGAGAAUUCGAUCCAGACCUGGGGCGUCAUCUUUUAUGAAUUGACCUGUCCUUGCCCAAAAGCCACCACCAAAACCAAAAAUCUGUCACCGGGGCUCCUCCCAACACCGAACUUUUACCCCAUCCCACAGGGCCCACGCUAGGUGUCAACAAACGUUGAGUGAACGAGAAUGUGUAUUUGGAGCUGAGGGUGCAGGGCUGGGGGUGCAGUGAGGAAGAAGGGACAAUAGUGCGGAAAUGGCUCGUCGUCACCCGACCUGGGCCAGUCAUAACAGUGGUUAACACUGACAAUAUGUGGUCCCUGCCACUCCCCAAGUGCUUAGUGGGGAAAUGACUCGUCCUCACUCGACCUGGGCCAGUGAUAACAGUGGUUAACACCGACAAUAUGUGGUCCCUGCCACUACCCGAGUGCUGCCGAAUCUACCCCCUCCCCUACCGCUCCCCUCACAGGCAGGUGUUCCUUGCUUGGAUCUGUCACUUCACUGGAAAGAAGUUUCUGCAUCACCUUCUCUUCUUUGACUCUUCAACUAGGUCAAGAAAACAAUGGCAUCAAUUACCCGGCUUUUGAGGAGCCUCUUGUGGCAUGCUUUGCUGUUAGGCACAAAUACUGACUUAAGUCUAUACGUAGUACAUUCAGGGCCUUGCCAUAGUCACUUGUUUUUACCAGACAGCAGUUUUGCAGGGCCUUAGACCGGGACUUUCCAAUUCCUUCACUUCACCCACAACUCGUGUGAAGCAUCAUAAUGUUUGUAAGCCUAUGGGAAUAAGCAAGGUGGCUUCGGUAGCCGGAGAUGACCACCACAAUCCAUUGGAGGAUAUGUAGCUUGUGGGGGUGUCACUGACUUCCUUGGGCCCUCCAGGUCUCUUGAUUACAUAUGGGACUCAGUACCCUGCCCCAAACACACACUCCUUUGCCCACUUGCUGCUCCAGGUUUGGGGGUUUUGCGGAGGUUCAGGCUGGGCUGCAUUUUACCAUACGUUUGUCUAAGCGUUUUGAUAGCUACCUAGCUCUCCUCCGUAUACUAUGGCCAAAUUCAAAAUUACCAAGGCUAAACUGGCUUCUUCAAAGACCUGCCCAAGAUAAGAGGGGGAAGCAUUCUAGCCCUGAGAGCUGAAAUGUAAUGUCUGAUUUGAAGGGCACCUGAAGGAUUCCGUGGCCCCACACUUGAGCCUAGCUUAAAAAGCAAUCAGCAGGAACAGCUUUAAAAAAAAAAAAAAACAUUGAUUAGAGCAUUUACAAAUCCUGGAACCAUACACAGUAUGAUGUAUGAGGGCCACAGUAGAUGGCCUCAACAACCAGAGCCUCCGUGGCUGCCUGGAGAGCGGUGAUGCAGGCAGCAGCUUCAUGAGAUAUUUGCAGUUUAAUCCAGUCAUCUGCAAGCACAAUCUGCCCAUCAGAUUGGACUUUCUUGGAGGCAAAGAGAAGCAACUGCAGUGGGGUGACUAAAGUCAUGCCUUUAGCAGAGAUGGCUCGAGUUCAAAUCUUUUCACCAAAUACAAAGAAGGGAGAUAGGUACUUCAUGUCUUGGCUACUAAAAGGACAAUUAACAGUAGAUGGUUCCAGGUUCCAUCUACUGUUAGUAGAGGGCCACAGUAGAACCUCCCAUUCAGUUCAGGACUUCCCAGAGCUACAAAAACAAAUUCAGGUUGACCUUGUUCAGUGGUGGAGGCCUCUGGUCUUGCUUCUGCCAUCUGUCUCUUCAUUCUGUGUGCAGGGAGCUUUCAUGGUAAGAAAGCACUUCCUAGUAUUGGUUUUUAUUUUUUAUUUUUUUGGAGACGGAGUCUCCUUCUGUCACCCAGCCUGGAGUGCAGUGAUGUGAUUUCGGCUCACUGCAACCUCCGCCUCCCGGGUUCAAGCAAUUCUCCUGCCUCAGCCUCCCUAGUGGCUGGGUACAAG